rnacentral:rRNA from 1 species
AACGAACGCUGGCGGCAGGCCUAACACGUGCAAGUCGAGCGAGCAUUUCGGUGCUAGCGGCGGACGGGUGAGUAACGCGUGGGAACGUGCCCUUUUCUGCGGAAUAGUCCUGGGAAACUGGGGGUAAUACCGCAUACGCCCUUUUGGGGAAAGAUUUAUCGGAGAAGGAUCGGCCCGCGUUGGAUUAGGUAGUUGGUGGGGUAAUGGCCCACCAAGCCGACGAUCCAUAGCUGGUUUGAGAGGAUGAUCAGCCACACUGGGACUGAGACACGGCCCAGACUCCUACGGGAGGCAGCAGUGGGGAAUCUUAGACAAUGGGGGCAACCCUGAUCUAGCCAUGCCGCGUGAGUGAUGAAGGCCUUAGGGUUGUAAAGCUCUUUCAGCUGGGAAGAUAAUGACGGUACCAGCAGAAGAAGCCCCGGCUAACUCCGUG